rnacentral:sRNA from 2 species
UAAGUAAGUCAGCUUAAUUUCCUAACUUCAAGGAAAACGGAGGAACCGAUUUAGGGGCAUAUCUCUAUAGUUUAGUUAGAGAAGAACAUCUCUCAGUUCUAGCCCGUCAGCUAACUUCGUCGGCAUUGAGAGGAGACUGA